UACAGAGGGGGCAAGCGUUGUUCGGAAUUACUGGGCGUAAAGGGCGCGUAGGCGGCCGCCUAAGUCAGACGUGAAAUCCCUCGGCUCAACCGGGGAACUGCGUCUGAUACUGGGAGGCUUGAAUCCGGGAGAGGGAUGUGGAAUUCCAGGUGUAGCGGUGAAAUGCGUAGAUAUCUGGAGGAACACCGGUGGCGAAGGCGGCAUCCUGGACCGGUAUUGACGCUGAGGCGCGAAAGCUAGGGGAGCAAACGGG
rnacentral:rRNA from 1 species